AUGUCAUCUAUAGCCACAACCGGGUUAAUUGGGCCGGUUUGGGCUGGCCAUCCUGAAUUCCCAAUUCGUUCGCCUUCCCCUUCCUUUCGUCUCCUCUCCCGUACCCGCAAUGCCCCGUCCCUAGGCGGCCAGGCGCCCACUGCGGCGGCCGGCGAGGAGCGUAGGCGUCUCUCUCCCCUCCUCCUCCGGCGGCAAGAGGAAAGCAAAUCCUCAACAAGGUUGAGAGGUGAAUCAUAUAAGCUCUACUGGAUCCGACCGCAACGAAGCUCGCCGCCCCGACCGGCCUCGCCGGCGACGAGGCCCUCGACUUCUCCGUCAUCAGAGAUGUACGUCACGCCACCCUACACUGACGUCUACUCCAUUCCGAGGGUUCUUGAGCCAAUGCCACAAAAGAAAGAUUAUGGCUGCUACCAUGCAAGUGAGCCACCAGUUGAACACUCGUGUGAUCCCCUAUACGUGAUAGAGAGCAAGAUUAUGAUGUUCAACGGACAAGCAUGGUAUCUGACAACCUCUAAACCGAGGGGACAUGCAACCUUCUUCGCUUCAUACGUGCUCUUUUGCACAUGUUGCCCGCAGGAAGAACUGUAGAAAGGUGCACAUCAUCUAGCAUUUCGGCCACCCUGCCUUGCGGAACUUUUGAUCUUCAACACGGCAUGGUUCGUCGGAUGGAUCAUCAUGCUCCAUGUUCUCCAUUUUUGAGUCGCUUUCAACUUCAAUGGCAUCCUCGCCGUGACAAGUCCAACGUGAAUAACCCAACACAAAACCGUGUAGGAGCAAGUGCAACUCCACAUCGCUUGGUAGAAGCAUCAUUGUGUUAUAACAAUUGCUACAUGGACAACAUGUCAUGUCGUCCCCUUUUCUCAGCAUAUGUUCCGUGGCGACAUUAGUGAAGUCCUUCAGUUUUCUUAUCCACUCUUCACAA